AACUAAUCUGAUGGGGACGUGGAGAACCUUUGUAUCUAGCUCAGGGAUUGUAAACGCACCAAUCAGCGCCCUGACGAAACAGGCCACUCGGCUCUACCAAUCAGCAGGAUGUGGGUGGGGCCAGAUAAGAGAAUAAAAGCAGGCUGCCUGAGCCAGCAUUGGCAACCAGCUCGGGUCCCCUUCCACACCGUGGAAGCUUUGUUCUUUCACUCUUUGCAAUAAAUCUUGCUACUGCUCACUCUUCGGGUCCAGGCUGCUUUUAUGAGCUGUAACACUCACCGCGAAGAUCUGCAGCUUCACUCCUGAGCCAGCGAGACCACGAACCCACCAGAAGGAAGAAACUCCAAACACAUCUGAACAUCAGAAGGGACAGACUCCAGACGUGCCACCUUAAGAGCUGUAACACCGCGAGGGUCCGCAGCUUCAUUGUUGAAGCCCUCCGAACCCUGAAGAGAUCAUCAUAUAUAUGUGCUGCCGAAGCGAGCACUCCUGAAGAGAUUAACUAAGAGUCUAGCACCUUUUAAGUUAGAAGAGACUGCCCACAUAGGGAGAGUGGCACAGAGGAGAGUAACAUCAAUCAACAGCGAAUAUGCACUUGAUCGCGGUCUAAUCAGCACCAGGCACCUCAGGGCAGCAGUAUUGUCAGACGCAUUGGAACCAGAGGGACUCCAUCUUGAAUAAGGUCUGGGUAAAAUGAGGCUAACACCUACUGGGCUGCAUUCCCAGGAGGUUAAGCAUUCUUAGUCACAGGACAAGAUAGGUCAGCAGGACAAGAUAGAGGUCAUAAAGACCCUGCUGAUAAAACAAUGCCAUAAAGAAGGCAGCCAAAACCUGCCAAAACCAAGGUGGUGAUGAAAGUGACCUCUAGUUGUCCUCACUGCUCACUAUACGCUAAUUAUAAUGCAUUAGCAUACUCAAAGACACUCCCAGCAGCACCACGACAGUUUACAAACGCCAUGGCAACAUUAGGAAGUUACCCUAUAUGGUCUAAAAGGGGAGGAACCCUCAGUUAGGGUAAAUCCCUGCCCUUUUCCUGGAAAACUCAUGAAUGAUCCACCCCUUGUUUAACAUAUAAUCAAGAAAUAACUAUACGUGUACUCAGUUGAACAUCCCGUGCCACUGCUCUGCCUAUGGAGUAGCCAUUCUUUUAUUCUUUUAC
rnacentral:lncRNA from 1 species